rnacentral:rRNA from 1 species
UGGGGAAUUUUGGACAAUGGGCGCAAGCCUGAUCCAGCCAUGCCGCGUGCGGGAAGAAGGCCUUCGGGUUGUAAACCGCUUUUGUCAGGGAAGAAAUCUUCUGAGUUAAUACCUCGGGAGGAUGACGGUACCUGAAGAAUAAGCACCGGCUAACUACGUGCCAGCAGCCGCGGUAAUACGUAGGGUGCAAGCGUUAAUCGGAAUUACUGGGCGUAAAGCGUGCGCAGGCGGUUUUGUAAGACAGAGGUGAAAUCCCCGGGCUCAACCUGGGAACUGCCUUUGUGACUGCAAGGCUUGAGUGCGGCAGAGGGGGAUGGAAUUCCGCGUGUAGCAGUGAAAUGCGUAGAUAUGCGGAGGAACACCGAUGGCGAAGGCAAUCCCCUGGGCCUGCACUGACGCUCAUGCACGAAAGCGUGGGGAGCAAACAGGAUUAGAUACCCUGGUAGUCCACGCCCUAAACGAUGUCAACUGGUUGUUGGGAAGGUUCCUUCUCAGUAACGUAGCUAACCGUGAAGUUGACCGCCCGGGGAGUACGGCCGCAAGGGUUGAAACUCAAAGGAAAUUGACGGGGUCAUAGCUGUUUCCUG